UACGUAGGGUGCGAGCGUUAAUCGGAAUUACUGGGCGUAAAGCGUGCGCAGGCGGUUUUUCAAGUCCGUUGUGAAAGCCCCGGGCUCAACCUGGGAAUGGCAGUGGAAACUAGGGGACUGGAAUCUGGCAGAGGGGGGUGGAAUGCCGCGUGUAGCAGUGAAAUGCGUAGAGAUGCGGCGGAACACCGAUGGCGAAGGCAGCCCCCUGGGCUGAGAUUGACGCUCAGGCACGAAAGCGUGGGGAGCAAACAGG
rnacentral:rRNA from 1 species